ensembl:lncRNA
GGGGUCUGAAGGAGCGCGGCUCCCGGGCAGCAGGCAGUGGAAUUCCUGGGUCCGCUCCGGCCCGCGUUUACCUACCCUAUUCUGGGAUUUGGCCUUGCCCCUGAGUCGGCGGCAGAGGUCCCGGCGACCGGCCCCAUGGCGCACAGUGGGUUGUCAGUGAAAGUCUGAGCGGACCGGCCGCGCCUCCGAGCCCGGGGUCUUUGAGCGCGGACCCCGACGCGGUCUUCGCCCUGCGUGGAGGCAGGGCAAGCCCUCAGCGUGUCACCCGGACCUUGUCAGUCCUCAGUAUCUCCUCGCGGUCAAUUGGGAGCCCACUAAAACAGAAGAGCACGCCUGCUUGCUUCAGUGGCUUCAACAUUCUGUUCACCCAGGUAUUAGGCAGUGCCCACCCAGCCUUGUCUUUCAGGAACCAGCUCACAUCCCACCUCCUCUGUGAGACAUUCUGACAAGGAAAGAAAUGCAACUUCUGGGAGAAGUGCUUGAUGGCCAAGGACACAGUGGUUUUCCCCAGAGACGCCAGGGAAUCUGGGUCAAGGCUGUCUUCUUACCCUCUUCCCAAGGCCUCAAAACUGUGCUCUGUCCCCCCACCCCUCACGCUGCUCUCUGAACUCCAUCAGGGUACUGGUUCUGUGCUCAGCAGCUGAACACACACAGGAGCCAAGAUGCCAAGACUCCAAGCCAGUCUGGAGUAGGAGACAAGUGAACAGAUGAUCACAGCGCGGCUAUGAGGCCCUGGAAGCGGGGGUGAGGAGGUGGGGGUGGUGUGUGCAGAAGAGGAGUGGGUAGAGCAAAGCAAGCCUGGGGCCUGCUCCACACCGGAGGAGGGGCGAGUCCUCCAGGCCUGAAGGCUUUCAGCCUUCCUCACAGACCUGUGUUCCCACUGGCUACAGUUUCCUGUUUGGUACUUUUUGUCCUCCCCC